UACGUAGGGUGCGAGCGUUGUCCGGAAUUACUGGGCGUAAAGAGCUCGUAGGCGGUUUGUCGCGUUGUUCGUGAAAUGCCACAGCUUUACUGUGGGCGUGCGGGCGAUACGGGCAGACUGGAGUACUGCAGGGGAGACUGGAAUUCCUGGUGUAGCGGUGGAAUGCGCAGAUAUCAGGAGGAACACCGGUGGCGAAGGCGGGUCUCUGGGCAGUAACUGACGCUGAGGAGCGAAAGCGUGGGGAGCGAACAGG
rnacentral:rRNA from 1 species